rnacentral:sRNA from 12 species
UGUUGCAACAUCCCCGUGGGUUGGGGGAACGGCAGAGCUUAGGGCCGUCUCAGUGAAUCCACUGCAACA